UUCACUAUACGAGUAAAUUGUUAAACGCGUCCGAAUUUAUCAACAUGAUAAAUGCCAAAUUCGCGGCACCUAACCCUUAACCUUAAUUUUGUGUUACACAGCUUCGAUCAUGUUAUAUAUACCCAUUAUCAGUAACCUUGCCCGCUCAUUCAAGUGCUACAGUAUGUAUAUCUAUACUGAAAAAAAAAUCAAUCAAAAAAUCAAAAAAAUAAAAAAAUACAAAAGUCAAAAAAUCAAAAAAUCAAAAAAUCAAAAAAUACAAAAAUCAAAAAAUCAAAAAAUCAAAAAAUCAAAAAAUCAAAAAAUCAAAAAAUCAAAAAAUCAAAAACUACAAAAAUACAAAAA
rnacentral:lncRNA from 1 species